rnacentral:lncRNA from 1 species
UACUGUUUAGCACAUUAACAAUCCUACUUUUGAAAAAUAACAGGAUAAACCCGUCCGUUCACACCCUCCCCUAUCUAAUUACAGUAGGAAGCAGAUGACUUUGAAAAGAAAUGACUUAAAUAACUUUUUAAAAGCCUGUGAGUAUCAUCAUUUAUGGUUUAUAUUAUACUGCUGAGAGCAGUUACAAUGUGGACACUUUAAAUUAGAUGUAAAAGAUUGACAAAGAAGUAUUGUAUGUAAAAUAGUGACUAUCCUUAAACGAGUUGUAUUUAAUUCUUCAUUUCAUUCAGAGUUAAAUAAGUCCCCAUUUUGGGGGUUUCUUUCCAAAAAAGAAAUCUUCUGGAAGGUCUUUAUCCUAUUGGUGUGUUCUGCUUAAUAUUCCCUUUAUAUUUGUGAUGAUUCUAUUGUUCUGCUCUCCUACACACACCACCUACAGUGACCAAGGCUCAUUCCUUUUAAUUCACACUUGUAUUCUUUUUUUAUAGGUUACUUAAUACUGCAUAAUAAGGCAGUUAGGCCACAACCCAGUGCACUCUAAGCAGCAUGGGAGUGAUCCAAAAAAUACAAAAUGAAGUUAAUGUAACAUAAAAAUGACUGUGCAGCAUAUAAGGAAAUCAGAUUACUGGCAAAUACUUUAGUGUCAUUAGAAUCCACUGUAAAGGAGUUCAGCAAGCUUAAUAACUUCGAUGUCUUCCACACUGGGUGACUUCAUUCAGACUAUUCCCAAAUGCAUUUAAAAAUAUUUUUAAAAAGAAAGAACCUCAAGUUUAAAUGCAUGUCCUGUAGCUCUUUGUACUGUGUUAUAACUAAAAUUUAGUCAAUUUUACCUAUACACAAGGAUGGACAGCGUUUUACUAACCGCAAAGAUGGCCUAUUGAAUGAGAAGAAAAAAACUGAAGAACCCUCUCAUGUUUUUGUCUUCAUUUAAGCUUGCUUCUUCCUGCUGUUCCUCAGCUGGCUGAAUAGGUGCUGUGUCCUUCUUAGUUCUCUUCAUUUCCAAAGAAUUCAGCAUAUUGUUUUCAAAGUGAAUCUUUUAUGCAACAGUGGCUUGAAGCAAACUCUUGUCCUA